rnacentral:rRNA from 1 species
UACGGGGGGGGCACGCGUUGUUCGGAAUUAUUGGGCGUAAAGGGCUCGUAGGUGGCCAACUAAGUCAUACGUGAAAUCCCUCGGCUUAACCGGGGAACUGCGCCUGAUACUGGUUGGCUUGAGUUUGGGAGAGGGACGCGGAAUUCCAGGUGUAGCGGUGAAAUGCGUAGAUAUCUGGAGGAACACCGGUGGCGAAGGCGGCGUCCUGGACCAAUACUGACACUGAGGAACGAAAGCCAGGGGAGCAAACGGG